GACGAACGGCUGGCGGCGUGCCUAACACAUGCAAGUCGAACGGAAGUUAGAGCUUCGGUUUUAAGCUUAGUGGCGAACGGGUGAGUAACGCGUGAGUAACCUGCCCUAGAGUGGGGGACAACAGUUGGAAACGACUGCUAAUACCGCAUAAGCCCACGGUACCGCAUGGUACUGAGGGAGAAGGAUUUAUUCGCUUUAGGAUGGACUCGCGUCCAAUUAGCUAGUUGGUGAGGUAACGGCCCACCAAGGCGACGAUUGGUAGCCGGACUGAGAGGUUGAACGGCCACAUUGGGACUGAGACACGGGCCCAGACUCCUACGGGGAGGCAGCAGUGGGGGAUAUUGCACAAUGGGGGAAACCCUGAUGCAGCGACGCCGCGUGGAGGAAGAAGGUUUCGGAUUGUAAACUCCUGUCGUUAGGGACGAUAAUGACGGUACCUAACAAGAAAGCACCGGCUAACUACGUG
rnacentral:rRNA from 1 species